rnacentral:lncRNA from 1 species
UCAAAACACAGUUACCGUUUAUUAAAUUUCAAAUCACAGGUUUUAUAGAUAACAAACCUGGACAAAUGCUAAGAGGAUGCUCAUUAGAACGUCAGAACAGAGCAGCAACAAGGAAAAGACCCAGAAGCUCAGCCCCAAGGGAAACCGGUAUCUGAUAAACAGCCCCGCUUCCACACAGGUUUCCCUCUAAUCAUGGCCAAACAUGCCAGCAAGCAAGUGGUUCCGGGCAGGAAGUGAUAUUUUUAUAAACGUUAAAAGUGUAGACUGUGCCAGGCGGUGGUGGCGCACACUCAGCUAUUUCUUUAUUUUAUGAGUAUUUUUGCCUGCAGGAAUGCGUGUGCAUCAUAUAUGUGCGGUGUCUGUGGAGGUCAGAAGAGGGUGCUGGAUCCUUUGAAGCUGGGCGAUAGGUGAUUGUAAUCCAGCUGUGUGGGUGCUGGGAAUCAAACCCGGGUCUUUUGUAAGAGUGACAAAUGUCCUAAACUGUGUUUUAAAGCAAAGCGUCCAUCUUUCUAGCUCCCGGUCCUUUUUUUUUUUUUUUUAACCCUUGAGUCUGGGGGAGCGGGGGUGUAAAAGGCAUGCACCAUCAACUGCCCAUCUUUGGAUAGAACUUUUCAACAAAGACAGAUAAAUAAAAUGUAUAAAUCUAAGUCUUAUCUGACAUAAAAGACUUGAGGAGGAAAUGAAGAACCAAAAAAAAAAAAAAAAAGUUUGAGCCAGACAGUCAUAUGUUAAUGAGAAAAAUAAUAAAGUGACUUACGACAAAGGGGCUUGCGCUAACUACCCCUCCCCUUGGUCAGAACAUAGAGGGUUUAAGAUCAUGUUUUGCUGUGAAAUCAAUUCAGCUCACCUGAAACAGGUGCUGAAUGGUGAAAGCCCCCAAUCAGUUGCUUUCAGCAUGUGUCUUAAUUUUUCUGUCCCCCGAUUCUGUCUUCUGUACCAGAGUCUGAACAGGUAACCACUUCAAGGGAUGUCAGUGACAGAUGGGCCACGGAGAAAAUGUCAACAAACACAAGAAAGCAAACUAUGCAGACAGUCCACCCAGGCCGUUCGGUCAGGAAACCAUAGAUAAAUCCAACUAUUGCAGAAAAGAAGAAUUCCCUGAAACAUCCGUGCAUGAGGCAGUGAACUCAGAUUUCCAGCAUGAUUGGCAGAGAUUGGCUUGGACCUCUUUCAUUCUGCUUCCCUGUCCCUGGGAAGAAGUGUCUUCCUGCAGCACAGUGAAGGCCCCUUUCAGGUGGUAGUUUUGUCUCCUGCUUUUAGGGGCAGGAGAAGUC